UGAGGAAUUCUUGCGCAAUGGGCGAAAGCCUGACGCAGCGACGCCGCGUGGAGGAUGAAGGUCUUCGGAUUGUAAACUCCUGUCGAGUGGGACGAAUGCCGUGAGGGUGAAUACCCCUUGCGGUUGACGGUACCGCUGGAGGAAGCCCCGGCUAACUCCGUGCCAGCAGCCGCGGUAAUACGGAGGGGGCUAGCGUUGUUCGGAAUCAUUGGGCGUAAAGGGCGCGUAGGCGGCCGAUCAAGUCGGAGGUGAAAUCCCUCGGCUCAACUGAGGAAUUGCCUUCGAUACUGUUCGGCUUGAGUCCUGGAGAGGGUAGCGGAAUUCCCGGUGUAGCGGUGAAAUGCGUAGAGACCGGGAAGAACACCAGUGGCGAAGGCGGCUACCUGGACAGGUACUGACGCUGAAGCGCGAAAGCUAGGGGAGCAAACAGGAUUAGAUACCCUGGUAGUCCUAGCUGUAAACGAUGGGCACUUGGUGUUGCGGGUAUCGACCCCUGCAGUGCCGAAGCUAACGCAUUAAGUGCCCCGCCUGGGGAGUACGGUCGCAAGGCUG
rnacentral:rRNA from 1 species